AAGAUCUUGUUGUCUUUGAUUUCGCAGGAUAAGUUAUCACCGGGGAGCCCUUGCCUUGUCUAUUAAUUAAGUAUAAACUAGUCUCAUAGGUGGAUCUGAGUGUUUGCCCAAAAGGAGAGAUUGGCCACGGCCCGCUGCGGGUACACUAAGUAAGCGACCCACUCUACUCUAUCAUUCAAUCGUGACUGCCUGCCUUUCUACAAAGAUCCCAAUCCCAAGAAAGAAAGUAGGAAGAUUGGCUUGGUCAAUCCCUUCGUGGAGCACAUACAAGAUCUAUAAGCAAAUAGAUCAAUUCAAAGGCGACGAGACCAAGCUUCAAAGCCCGAUGCAAUUCAAAUUCUUAGUCAUUCGCUCCCAAAAUAAGAUACUUCCUACCUCUCCAACCUUAUUCAUUCGUUUAGGGCGAGUGACUUCGUACCUCUCCUUCCCUAUUUCUUUCGUAUUGAUACCUACACCUAGUGAAAACUUAGUAAGAACUCAAUGGCAUUGCCAAUACCUGGGUAAGAAGUAGUCCGAUGCCCUAACCUAAGGGUGGAUCGUAUUAUAUACAAUAGGAGCUCCUUCUCCAACAAUCGAGUCUUAUUAACUGACUUCAUCACCAGCAGUUUCUUCUGGGCAUGUCCUUGAUACUAGUGUCCUUACUGCGGGUCUUCCUCCAAGAACAACGGAUGAAGUAAGAGCGCAUUCUAGUUUUGGUUCAAUAUCUCACGCUAUUUGGAAGUUAGAAUUAUUUCCUCUUUACUUAAU
rnacentral:misc_RNA from 1 species